CCUACGGGUGGCAGCAGUGGGGAAUCUUUCGCAAUGGGCGCAAGCCUGACGCAGCAACGCCGCGUGGGGGAAGGAGUAUUUCGGUAUGUAAAGCCCUAGCAGCAGGGAAGAACAAUGAAGGUACCUGACUAAGAGGCACCGGCUAAACACGUGCCAGCAGCCGCGGUAAUACGGAUGGUGCAAGCGUUAUCCGGAUUGACUGGGUGUAAAGGGAGCGCAGGCGGCGCGUUAAGCCUGGUGUGAAAGGCCGCGGCCCAACCGGGGGACUGGAUUGGAAACUGGCGCGCUGGAGUGCCGGAGGGGUAGGCGGAAUUCUUGGUGUAGCGGUGAAAUGCGUAGAUAUUAGGAGGAACACUAGUGGCGAAGGCGGCCUACUGGACGGUGACUGACGCUGAGGCUCGAAAGCGUGGGGAGCAAACAGGAUUAGAUACCCGGGUAGUC
rnacentral:rRNA from 1 species